rnacentral:rRNA from 1 species
GGGCCCGCACAAGCGGUGGAGCAUGUGGUUUAAUUCGAUGAUACGCGAGGAACCUUACCAGGGCUUAAAUGUAGUGGGACAGGUCUAGAGAUAGACCCUUCUUCGGACUCAUUACAAGGUGCUGCAUGGUUGUCGUCAGCUCGUGCUGUGAAGUGUCGGGUUAAGUCCCAUAACGAGCGCAACCCCCAUUUCUAGUUGCCAGCGGUUCGGCCGGGGACUCUAGAGAAACUGCCAGCGUAAGCUGUGAGGAAGGUGGGGAUGACGUCAAAUCAUCACGGCCCUUACGUCCUGGGCUACACACGUGCUACAAUGGCCGGUACAGAGAGCAGCCACUUCGCAAGAAGGAGCG